rnacentral:misc_RNA from 1 species
CCUCCUUUCUAUCGGAGUACAUUAAAGCUAAGUAACAAAUAUUAGAUAUAUUUGUGUACUUUAUUAAAAAAAUCCUAAACUGAAAUUUAUCUCAUGUUAUAUAAGAGUAAGUUCUAGGUCGGAUUCUAUUUAGUUUUGAGAGAUUUUUCUCUCAAGAUAGUUCUUUGAAAACUGAAUAUUAUAACAAUCUUUUUAGUCUAAUCAUACUUGUUAUUUUUCUA